GAUGAAGAACGCAGCGAAAUGCGAUAAGUAAUGUGAAUUGCAGAAUUCAGUGAAUCAUCGAAUCUUUGAACGCACAUUGCGCCCGCCAGUAUUCUGGCGGGCAUGCCUGUCCGAGCGUCAUUUCAACCAUCAAGCCCCCGGGCUUGUGUUGGGGACCUGCGGCUGCCCGCAGGCCCUGAAAACCAGUGGCGGGCUCGCUGUCACACCGAGCGUAGUAGCAAUCACCUCGCUCAGGGCGUGCUGCGGGUUCCGGCCGUUAAACAGCCUUACAAAACCCAAGGUUGACCUCGGAUCAGGUAGGAAGACCCGCUGAACUUAGGCAUAUCAAUAAGCGGAGGA
rnacentral:misc_RNA from 1 species